UGAGUUGAUUUCUAGAUCUAAUAAAAUAUUUAUAUACACUAAAAUAGAUAAAUAAAAUUAAAUAUUAUUUUUAAAAAUAAAAUAAAUAAUAAAAAUCAGAUGCCACAAAAUCCUAGCCAUCAUCUAAGCUUCCCUAUUCGGCUACUUUGGCAAAGAGAAGAGGAGUUCACAAAAGAUGGAAUAAAACAUAUGGGGGUAUAGAAGAGGUUUAAGAGAUGGAAUAGGAUGGAGAUAGGGGAAGGGGAAUACCUUUGGUUUGUAGG
rnacentral:lncRNA from 1 species